rnacentral:rRNA from 1 species
AUUGAACGCUGGCGGCAGGCCUAACACAUGCAAGUCGAGCGGUAGAGAGGUGCUUGCAUCUCUUGAGAGCGGCGGACGGGUGAGUAAUGCCUAGGAAUCUGCCUAGUGGUGGGGGACAACGUUCGGAAACGGACGCUAAUACCGCAUACGUCCUACGGGAGAAAGCGGGGGAUCUUCGGACCUCGCGCCAUUAGAUGAGCCUAGGUCGGAUUAGCUAGUUGGUGAGGUAAUGGCUCACCAAGGCGACGAUCCGUAACUGGUCUGAGAGGAUGAUCAGUCACACUGGAACUGAGACACGGUCCAGACUCCUACGGGAGGCAGCAGUGGGGAAUUUUGGACAAUGGGCGCAAGCCUGAUCCAGCAAUGCCGCGUGCAGGAUGAAGGCCUCGGUUGUAACGU